CACCGCGGUUAUACGAGGGGCCCAAGUUGACAGCCAUCGGCGUAAAGAGUGGUUACGGAUUACCCCUACUAAAGUUAAACACCCCUCAAACUGUUAUACGCGCCCAGGGGCAGGAUACCCUACCACGAAAGUGACUUUAACUCUCCCGAACCCACCACAGCUACGAAA
rnacentral:rRNA from 1 species